UAUUUUGACAAAUCCACAGCCACUAUUGUGAGUGACUAACGGUCGUAUAGUUAAGAGGCCAAUCCGAAUCUUGUUUUUUUUAAGGGACAAUUGUGAAAUCCAAAAUAUCUUUAAGGACAAUUGAACUAAUUAAGCUUUUUUUUAUUCAAAGUUUCAAUCAACUAUAGAGGAUAUUUAUGUUUUUCUUCACAAAUUCAUGUAGGAUUAUGAGAUCAACAAGCUUGAAUGUUAGAAGAGAAAGUUGGAAUUUUGAGAUGGAAACCCGUAUUCAAGGAGAUACCUGCACUAAAAAGUUCACGAAUUUAGGACUAAUAUUGAGCUCUGGUGACGAUUUUAAAGUUGAGGGUCUGAAGCGGUGUUUCUGCAGAAUUCUUGUUGGUAUAGAUCUGCACUUGAACGUUCUGGAGACAAUUUCAAAGUUGGAGGUCUGAACCUGAAUUAUGCAGAAAAAUCUGUCACGGAAUUUGCAUAUGCGAGCGGCACUAUCAGAUGAUUUUGAGCAUGCGGAAUGACUCGGUGUUGUUAUCAAUCUCAGGUAGGUUCUUUUAGCAGCUUAACUUUUAGAUUAGUUACCACUUCUAGUCGCCCAAAUAAAUAUGCAUGACAACAUUAGUUAGAUUAGGAUAAUAGUUUCCCCAAUUAUAUUAAUGUAUCACAACUUUAGGGAAUUUAGGACUUUAAGGUUUAAAUCCCAAAAUCAUCUCCAUUCUACUAAUAUAAUUGAUAUUGUGUUGUUUAUGACCGGAAAAGUCAUGGAUUGUAGAUGGAUAUGUUCUUUACAAAUACUGCAGAGUGUUGUAUUGGCAUUCUCGCUUAGCGAGCAUCAUACUUCGCUAAGCGAGCGUAUCAAAUUAGAACUCUGCGGAAUUAAUAAUUUAAAUAAAAAUAAGCGAGCGUAUCAAAUUAGAACUCUGCAGAAUUAAUAAUUUAAAUAAAAAUCCACUCGUUUUAUAUCCCUGACUUAUUCUGAAAUAUUUCGUAAGCAGUGUAAUAAUAUUAUGUGAUUAGAAUGUUUAUCACGCUUAGGAAUUUAGGUUCAGGAAUCAUGACAGUUAGAUUACCCUGGGAAGGUUUUUCUUUUCUUUUGGGCAGGACAACUUAGAACAUCAGGUUAGAAUAUGUCAACCAAAAAAUUAUAUCAGAGGAGUUAUUUAUUACUCCAUAUAUGGUUAUAUUAUGUGAUUGUGAGCCCAGACGAAACGGACGUACCUUAUUAUCCAAGUACGCAAACCAGACACUCCAAGAUCGGCUUGCCUUGGAGUGUACCUUGAGACUUAAAACGAACAAGAUAAUUUACUUUGCGAUACACUUUAUUUAUGUUGUUAAGUUAUUUUAUGUAAGACUUAUGAAAAUAUGUUAGAAACUGACAUUCAGGUAUCCCGGUGUAGUCACCAUUAGUUGGGUUGUAGGAUCUCACUGAGGCUUAGUAGUCUCAUCCCACGUCUAUUUUUUUUUCUUUUCGGAUAGACAGGUUGGAUGAAGUGUCGUGGCUGAGGAUCAUGAAGUUCAAGUACUCGAAUUACGCUUUGAGCUGAUGUCAGAGUUAUCUUAUAUUGUGAAUAAGAUUCAGUUUAUUUAUGUUUUCAGUUGUUAGCUCAAUGCAUUUAUUCCUUGGAUUAUUGUAAUCCACAAUAUGUAUUUGGACGAAUAUAAUAUAUAUUUUUCAUCUCGAUCCAGUUAUGUAUACUUCUAUUGAUAUUCUAGACAAUCGA